rnacentral:lncRNA from 1 species
UUGUCUUAUGUUGCCACAUUAUUUUUCCCACACUUGCCACACUUGCCUAACCUGAGUUGCUCAAAUUGUUAGACACACUUUGGCUUGCCUAAGGGAAUCUUGCCACAAUAUUUGUGUCUAUGACAUGUGGGGUUCACUGCUAAUAAAAAAAAUCUUGUCUUAGGUGUGGCUUAUAAAAAAGACUUAUAUUUAGGAAUGGAGGGAGUAGAAAAUAUAAAUAAUAAUGCAUGUUGGGGCAACCCACGUUUCCGCUAAUUUUAGCCGUGGGCUUGUUCACAAUUUUUACGAGGGGGUGGUUGUUCAUUUAAUGGAGGGACUUGUAGUACCAGACUUGAACGAUACAAAGUGCGACCUGGCACACCGUAACACCACUUGGAACAAGCGGGUAGCUAUCUCAAAAAACAAUCAACAACUAAAAAAACCGCGACCAGGCAUGUAGUAGUACACAAUUUUAAACGAUUGUUUUGAUGGAGUGAAAAAGGAAAACUACCCCACUAUGUAUAAAUAGGCCGGAGCCUCCGUGCUUGCUUGCUAGGGUUGCUCUAUUCACACACUCUCAUACUCUCCAGAUCUAAACAAGAUAGGGGUAGUAACGCUGUCUUUCUCCCUUCAAAAAACACUGGCUUUCUAUCCUCACCGCUGGUUACAGAUCCGGACGUAUCCCCCUCCGCCGGUGAAGGGGAGGAGGGGCAGCGUUUAGGCCGUCGUCGAUAGCGAGGGAGGAGACCCACUGCCGGCCGCACCGUUAUCUCUGGCCGAGCGCCGGCGCGGGAGGUCCUCCGAUCCCUUCGUCGUUGCCUGUGGGCGGAUCCGGCCUCCCGCCGCCCACCAAUCCACAUCCCGGCGACCUUCAGGUAUAUCUUCGUUCGUAACCGCCUUAGCUCUACUUCCCCAGCUUGCUACGUCGCUGCAUGUGCAUCAUUUUCUACCUCUCAGCCCCUCUCGAUCGGAUGGUCCAACGUCACAUUUUUUUCUUCUAUUGUUAGAGGUAAAGCUACUUCAUGGAGUCGAAUCUUGUACUCCCUCCGUCCGAAAAUACUUGUCAUUGAAAUGGAUGUAUCUAGAUGUAUUUUAGUUCUAGACACAUCCAUUUUGAUGACAAGUAAUUCCGGACGGAGGGAGUACUUGGUUCAAACAAGAAAUAAAGUGGGGGUGGGGGAAUUUAGUAUGUACAUCGGACUUGGUACAAACAGGAAGGAAAGGGGGUGAAAGUAGUACAGACUGGUCAUCCAACCGGUCUCUUGGUCGAAAAGGGAAAUAUAGGGGUAACGCUGUACACAGUGGUAUGACCAGGACUAGAUUUGCUAUCCACACAUAGGAGUAGGUGGCUAGAGUGAACAAAAAUGGGACCAACCCAGGUAUGUUUCUUGGAUGUUUGUUUCUCGGGGCAACAAACUAUGAAUCACCACUUUAUGCCCCUGUUUACGUACAUGGUGCUGGACUGCUGGUGCACCCACUGUCCCAUGCCCUUAUACCAAAUAUUUAGGCUCUGUUCGGAAUAAAGGGGCAGAAAACAUAGGUCUUGAUGAAAAUAGAGGAAUAGGAAGGGAAUGUAGGUAUAAAACUAUGGAACAGCGAACCGGAGGAAACUCUCAAGAGAAUGUGUUCGGAUGGACUACGAAAUGUACAGAUUUGUUUUUUUAGAGUAGCAUGCUUGGCAGUAUGAGAUGCUAUUUGUUUAUUCAGCUGCACAGUGACUACUCUUGUCCUCACCUCAUGUACCACACAUAGGUUGAUAUUUUUAUUCCGGCAACACAGCACAGCAACCUGUUUAACGCAUGGCAGCGAGCGCCUGCCUCGGGCUUCCGCCCAAAAAAUGAGCAGCGCGUGGAUGUUUCUAAUCCUAUGGAAUCAGUACUACCAGACUAGCUUUCCUAUGAAACACUAUUCACCUUUCCCGUGUUCCGAACGGUUGGAAGGGAAAUAAUACCGUAGGAAUUGUGUUCCUACGAAAAUCCUGCACCAAACCUGUGAACCGAACGCAGCCUUAGUUGUUCUUAAUCUAAUGUCCCUCGUAAAAAUGACGCCAUGCCACUGUUAUAAGCCAUGACAAGUUUAGCCAAAUGUUUUUGCCUGUAAUUGUUUGAGACUCUGACUGUUUCCUCUGUGCCUUUUUGUGCAAACAGGGAUAUCCAAUUCACCUGGUUGCUGUUGUGACAUUUUGGUGCACUGCACAAAACUCUUCUUAAAAGAAGUGACUUUUGUGCUGUUUAACUGGAAUGUCAGAAUGGAACAGUUGGUUCAUUUUGGUGGAACUACACAAAGGGAGAUCUGUGUUCCAAUCCUCAUCAUCCAUAUUGGCGCCAUAACCUUCCUUUAGGUAAGAAUGAUAUUUAAUGCAUGUGUUCAUCUCUAUUUUCCGACUGCCAUGAGAAAAUAAUGCUGUUUUUUACUAGUACACUUGUACUCCCUCACUGACAAAACCAAUUCUGAAUUAGAAGGCCAAUCAUGUACUUGGUUUCACCAACUAGUGAGGAGAAAGAGAAACAGAGCAUGAAGAGGAAGAAGAAGAAGAAUAAACAGUGCCAAGGCGAUCUUGCUGAAGCUAGAGGCCUCAGUCGAGGCCAUUCAAGGGCUCCGGCAACGACUACCUUACAUGUGAGACGAUCCUCCAGGGAGCCCUUCCACUUCUACUGUCUCACUUAAUUAAUUAGGAGUACUUAAGUACCACUAAUUUAUUACUGCCUAAUUUUCCUGUUGGAGUUAAACAAAUCUUUAGUAGGACCCUAUGCUGAAUCAUGUACGUGUGUAUGUUUGUCUAUGGAGGUGAAUCAUGUGGUGGAGCAGGGAGGGAAUAUUAUUAGUGUCAUGACAUAAUAGUGCUAUUGUUUUGCAUGUCAAUUUAUUGCCAUUGGUUCAAUGAGGCAAUGUUUUGCGUAUUGUCCAUCAUGAAUUUGAUGCUACUGUUUGAGUAAUAUGCUAAUGUCUUCCUAUCCUUUCUCACUAAGCUAAUGAAGGUUUCACCUUGUUCCUACUUGUGCAAACAGGGAUCAUGUUGUGCCAAUCAUACAUUUUAGUGGAACUACACAAGACAAUACAAUGAACUGUAUCCCAGCCAGUGCUUUAACUCUACUGGAAGUUCUUCAUAAUCUUUCGAUAUAAUCUCAGCACUGGUAAACAAGAGUGAUUUCAACCAUACAUUUGAAGUGCACAAAAAUAUAUACUAUUGUGUGAUUCCAGUGAGUGCUUUAUCAUCUCUUAUGGGACUACAUGAAUAAGCUUUUUUCUCGGGUUGGUACGGGCCUAAGGCCUUCAUCCAUAUUAGUUUGUUGUCAUCUCUAUUUGUAUCGUGCUACUGUCAUGAGAAACUCCUUUAUCUUUGCACGUUAAAGUUUUGCAACCUAUGAUAAAUGGCAAUUCUUUGAGUGUUGAGUUGAGCUAAUUGGCACUGAUUAAAUAAACUAAUACCUCUCUUUAAGCAAGACUACUAUGUUGCUAACUUUACCCAUUAAGAUAAUGAGGGUGCUUCUAUUUGUUAAUGUAUGUUUCAUCAACUAGUCCCACUAUUACAGUAAUCUCACUCUCUCAAUAUAUGUGCCAACAGGGAUGCUCGAUUUUGGUGGAACUGCACAAAAACUUUGGGUGCUUCAUUGCCUCGACAGCUUCCAUCCUUUCCUGUCAGUCGCUAAUCUCUGCUUGCUUUCUUCCUUUGUUGUCAGUCGCUUGGCUUAUCUCGGCUUCCAGUCAAAGGAAAUAGUAAUUGAUAUGCUACCUCACACAGGUUGGUACUGGUCUUUAUCCUGAUUAUUGUGCCUGUCAUAUGUAUUGGUAAUUUGGUAUUGUGCUACUGUUUGCCGAUUUCAUAAACGAGUAAUUUGGAGCCUAAACUCGCAGGAAAAUCAUUACAUUGGGUGAUUUCAGUAGAACUGCACAAAAUGAUCAGAUGGAAAGGUACUUAUGCUGCUGCUAUGUACUCCAAAGUUCACUCAGACAAGCAUCGAUGUUGACAAGAAGUGCAUAUAUUCAUUCGAGUAUCAACCGGCGUCAACCAAUUGUCAAACUCCAAGUAUUAGGAGAGUGAACGCCAAAAAUAUUGCUUGGUGCAUAGCCUAGAAAAACGCAGUCCAGUCUAUGGUCCCAACUUGUGCCUUUUGGUUAUCGGCACAUAUGGUAGCGAACUAUAUGGCAUGGAGUCUAAAGAUUCCAGACAAGUUGGUUGACGCGUAUAUUCAUCUGGCACUUAAUUAGUCUGCACACCAAGGAUGCUCCAUUUCAGUUGAACUGCACAAAAAAUUUAGGUGGUUCAUUUUCUCAACCGCCUCCUUUCUCGUCUGCAAUGUAGAAUUUUGGUGAGAUACAGGACCAAGAUGAGCCAGUAAACUAGUUGGAUGAAAGUAGUGGCCAAGUUGCUCAAACCUCCCUCGGCACGAGGCCACUAUUUGAGGAUAAACCUACAAGCAAAGUUCAGAUUGUCUGUGCUGCCUCUUAUGUACUCGAAAGUUUACUCGUACAAGAACUAAUUUUAGCAAGAAGUGCCUCCGAUUGAACACCAUUUACCAGUCUGUACCCUAGGUAAUUAAAGUUCUUCCAUGGAUCAUAUUGGCUGUGAUCUCAAUCAUUUGGAUGCAUAAACAUACUGAACAUGUGUAUAUCUGAAUCUUUUUGUGUAUUAUGUAUGAAUAUUGUCGUGUGAUCUAUCAAUCAUUUGGAUGCAUAGAUAUGCUGAGCUUGUGUAUAUAUGAAUCUUUUGAGUUGUUGAUAGUAAAUGUUGGCUAUGAAUAUGAACGUGUCCUGUGAACCUGAGUUUGAUAUGAAUGUUUACCUUUUCUGUUGUAUUUGUGUGUGAACUUGUUAGCUAGUAUGCCUACUGUGGGGUAUAAAACGCAGGUCUCUUAUAAAAGUAAUGCUGUGUCCAAUUUAUGUUUUCCCUUCUAACCACAUUAUAUAUAUUUAUAUUAUUACUAUUAUCGUAUAUUUUAUAGAGACUUAUAUAUACAUUAUAAAAACAUCCCACGUGUUAUUAACUUAUAAAAGUAAAUGUUUAACGGAAGUUGGCAAGGAAAAUCCUGGUUGUUUUUGACUCACAGGCAAGGAAAAUCCUGGUGAUUACGUACAAAAGCUUGCGAAGAUUUUAAGGACCAAUUUAAUAAUAACGCGCUCAUUUUUAUUUAGAGCAAUAACUCGCUAAUUUCUUAAUUAUAUAUAUAUAUAAAAUGUGCCUCUCCGGUUUGUUCUUUGAUAUUAAUUGCUACUUCUAACAUAACAUUAUAUAUAUAACGAGCCCACCUAAUACGUGUAUUUCAAGGAAGUGCAAAUGGGCUGGGAUUUCUUAGAAAAUAUAAAUGGGCCUGAUUGACAUGAAAUUAUUUGUUCACCCAGCCCAGCAAAUGGACUGUACAUUCUAGAAAACAUGGGUUAAAUAUAUGCCACAUUUUUGCAGGCUGACAUGUGGGCCAAUAGGUCGAAGCCUACGCAGGGCGUUGUCAACUUGGUCCACAAAUGAUUGUGUCAUCCACAGCCAUUGGAUUUAUAUCCAACGGCCGGCAUGCACCUUCAAUCUCUCGUCUUCUUCCUCCAGCGUCGCCGGGACCGCCUGGUCCGGCCUCCGGUGGCUAGCGGCUCUGCUUAGCACGCAUCGCUGCGAAGCGCUACAUCACCGCCGGCCAGGCUAUCCCUCCACCCCUCGACACCUCCUGUUAUUCUCCACAGACUACAGCCCCACGCCGCAACAGAACCAGUUAUAACCCUUCUCCUCCUCUCAAUUUGCGACUCCACUGCCGCGUUUUCCCAUCUCCGAGUCGUUCCCGUCCGGGGCCUCGCCAUCGUCCACCGCCUCGCUGCGUUCGGUGCGGCGUGGUCAACAAAAGAGAGUCACCGGAAGAGGACUGUACGUGGAGAGCCUGACAGCUGGGACCCACGAGGUCCAUGGUCGCACGCAAGGAAAGUUCCUCCUUAUUAAGCUGAAAAUAAAUGUUUCCUCCACCUGACAGCUGGGACCCACCGGCUGUAUCUUCGCACGGAAGGAAGUGCCUCCUUGUUUUGCAAAAAAAAAAUUCAUCCCAUUGACAGCUGGGACCCGUCAGAUUUGGUGACUGACUUGUGGGCCUACUAAGCGGACGUGUACGCACGGCUUUGUCAACUUAAUCAACAAAUGAUUCUAGCAGCUGGACCGUUGGAUGUUAAUCCAACAGCCAUGCUCCUUCUUCAACCUCUGUUCUUGCUCCUGUCUCCCGUGGGCAGCACCGCGGCUGUGCUACCGCGCACCCGAACCAGUGAAGUUUCCCACUCCUCUCCAUCUGCGACUCCACUGCCCCGUCUUCCCCGGGUCGUUCCAGUCUGGGUGCGCUCGGCACGGUGUGGUCAACGUGGUCAACAACCGAGAGUCAUCGAAAGAUGACUGUACGUGAGAGGCUGAGAGUGGGGACGCACCACGCCCAUGGACGCAUGCAUGCAACGGAACGCGGCAAGGUCAACGUGGUCAAGGAACGACUUCCAUCGGAAGUAUACUGUACGUGGAGAGUCUCAGCUGGGUCCACGGCCGCAGCAAGUAAGUGCCUCCUUAUUACGCGAAAAAUAAUGAUUCCUCCAACUCAUAGCAGGGACCCACUGGAGGGGCCACCGUAUUUUGCGAAAAAAAUGUUUGCCCCCUGACUGCUGGGACCCACCUGACAGGCCAUCGUAUUUCGCGAAAAAAACGUUCCCCCCGCUGUUAACUCGGACCCACCGGAAGUGCCUCCUUAUUAGGCACAAAAAAUGAAUACUCCCCCGGCUAGCUGGGACCCACCUUGGUGGGAGGCUUACUUGUGGGCCUACUAAGUUGACCGGGACGAAGGGCUUUGUCAACUUAGUCAAUAUGAACGAUUCUAGCUCCAGUGACCGUACAAUGUCCAUCCAACGGCCGUAGUGCUUCUUCAACCUUUGGUCUUCUUGCUCCAGCCGCCCAAAGCAGCGCCGGUCGUGCCGCAUGCUCCUGCCUCCCGUGGCAGGCUGUGCUGCCGCGGAGGCCUCACCGCCCCCUACUAUUCCCACCGCUGGCCAGGCCCUGCGGCGACGGCAGCCUCACACCGCAGCCGAACCAGUGAACCCUCAUACUCCUCUCCGCGCGGGCUUCCACUGCCGCGUCUUCCCCGGCUCCGCGUCGUCCCCUUCCUAGGCCUCGCCGUCGUCCACCGCCGUUGUGCUCUCCGCGCGGCGUGGUCAACAUGGUCAAGGAACGACUUCCAUCGGAAGAGUACUGUACGUGGAGAGGCUGACAGCUGGGUCCACGGCCACAGCCUAUUUUUUUGUGAUUUGCCAAGUAAGUCGCUUUGUUAGGCCUGUUGGGCUGCAAAUCUUUCAAGACGAGGAGAGCUUUCAUUCGGCUGGCCGAGAAAAUGGCCCAUCAGUAAUGAGAAAUGGGCUGUACAUUUUUAAAACACAUCAAACCGGCAAUUAGUUUCAAAUAUCUUUUUUUAUUUCGAGAUUUUAAAUUACAUUAAUUUUUAUGCGUGGAGAAUUUGUUGGAUUUUAUAUUGAUAUACAUUUAUUUUUAAAAUCAGUUUGAAUGUGAGUCGAAAUUUCGGGAUUAAAAACAGUUCGGACCACACCGAAAUAUGCAAAACUUCGUAUAAUUUUUUAACCGUGGCCACAAUAUGGGCUAUAAUGCUAACAAAAAGAAUAUGGGCUCCAAAAAACCUUAAUAAUUAGCAAAUGGGCUGUAAAUUAUUAGAAAUAAUGGCAGAUGGGUUGUAUGCUGUUUUCCACAGAUUUGAGGCUUUCCUAAAAAAAGGUUGACGCACAAGCAGUGACUGUUGGAUGGCCAUCCAACGACCAUCAUGCUUCUUCAAUCUCUACUCUUCCUGCUCCAGCCGCUCAAACAAGCGCCGGCGGGACUGCCUGCUCCCUCCUCCCCGCGGCCGGCUCUGCUGCCGCGCAGGCCCACCGCCCCACCGUACUCCCAUCGCUGGCCUAGCCAUCCCUCUACUCACCCACACCUGCUGUUAUUCUCCGGCGACGGCAGACGAACCAGUAAACCCUCGUACAGUCGUACUCCCCUCCGCGUGGGAAACAACUGCCGAGUCUUCCCUGCCUCCGUGUCGUUCCCUUCCUAGGCCUCGCCGUCGUCCACCGCCCUGGUGCUCUCGGCGCGGCCUGGUCAACGUGGUCAACGAACGACAUGCAUCUGAAGUGGACUAUACGUGGAGAGGCCGACAGCUGGGUCCACGGCCACACGCAAGGAAAUGCCUCCUUAUUACGCGCAAAAUAAUGAUUCCUCCACCUGACAUCAGGGACCCACCGAAAGGGCCUCUGUAUUUCACGAAAAAAAUGUUACCGCCGCUGACAGCUCGGACCCACCAGCUAUAUCUUCGCAUGCAAGGAAGUGCCUCCUUAUUACGCACCCAAAAAAUGAAUACUCCCCCUGUUAGCUGGGACCCAGUAUAGUGGCGGGCUGACUUGUGGGCCUACUAAGUUGACGGGGACGGAGGGCUUUGUCAACUUAGUCAAUAUGCACGAUUCUAGCUCCAGUGACCGUACGAUGUCCAUCCAACGGCCGUAGUGCUUCUUCAACCUCUGGUCUUCUUGCUCCAGCCGCCCAAACCAGCGCCGGUCGUGCCUCGUGCUCCUGCCUCCCGUGGCCGGCUGCGAUGCGGCGGAGGCCUCACCGCCCCCUACUACUCCCACCGCUGGCCAGGCCAUCCCUCUACUCACCCACACCCCCUGUUAUUCUGCGGCGACGGCAGCCUCACACCGCAGCGAACCAGUGAACCCUCGUACUCCUCUACGCGUGGGCAUCCACUGCCGCGUCUUCCCCGGCUCUGCGCCGUCCCCUUCCUAGGCCUCGCCGUCGUCCACUGCCCUGGUGCUCUCGGCGCGGCGUGGUCAACGUGGUCAAGGAACGGCUUCCAUCGGACGUGGACUGUACGUGGAGAGGCUGACAGCUGGGUCCACGGCCGCAGCAAGGAAGUGCCUCCUUAUUACGUGCAAAAUAAUUAUUCCUCCAUCUGACAGCAGGGACCCACUGGACGGGCCACCGUAUUUCGUGAAAAAAAAUGUUUGCCCAUGACUGCUGGGACCCACCAGCUAGAUCUUCGCACGCAAGGAAGUGCGUCCGGGCAAGAAAAAACGAUUCGCCCCCUGACUGCUGGGACCCACCAGCUACAUCUUCGCAGGCAAGGAAGUGCCUGACAGUCGGGACCCACCUGGUCGAAGCAUACGUAGCGUUGUCAUUCUGGUCGCGAACGUGUACGUACAUAUAUACUGGUGGAUGUAGAGGUGCGCACGUGUCGUAGUAGAGGCGCGCACGUAGCAUGUACACGUACGUACAGCGGCCAGGGUGCAAGAAAGAAAAUACGGCCACGUAUGUGUACAUACGGGCGGGGUCUCGAACGCCUACUCGCGCAUACGUACGGCCAGGGCUCGUGUACAUGGCUGGGUCGGAAUGGAGAAAUAGCGUCGUCGUCGUGUUCAUGGGGAGGCAAAGGAAUGCGUCGUGUUCAUGGGGAGGCAGCGGAAUGCAUUGUGUUCAUUGGGAGGCAACGGAACGCGUGGGAGCCAACCGGCUGGGUCGGAACGGAAUGCGUGGUCGUGUUCAUCGGGAGGGCUUGGACGGAACAGGCGAUGGAAACGAGGCCUGGCGUACCGCACAACAGAGGAAACGGACCUCCUACAUUCGGAACGGGGUCCUGUUGAUCGGGAGGGGUGUGGCGUACCGCAAAAUAGAGGAAACGGACCUCCUAUGGUCGAAACUGGGGUCCUGUUGAUCGGGAGGGGUGUGGCGUACCGCAAAACGGCCGAAACGGACCUCCUACGGUCGAAACGGGGGUNNNNNNNNNNNNNNNNNNNNNNNNNNNNNNNNNNNNNNNNNNNNNNNNNNNNNNNNNNNNNNNNNNNNNNNNNNNNNNNNNNNNNNNNNNNNNNNNNNNNNNNNNNNNNNNNNNNNNNNNNNNNNNNNNNNNNNNNNNNNNNNNNNNNNNNNNNNNNNNNNNNNNNNNNNNNNNNNNNNNNNNNNNNNNNNNNNNNNNNNNNNNNNNNNNNNNNNNNNNNNNNNNNNNNNNNNNNNNNNNNNNNNNNNNNNNNNNNNNNNNNNNNNNNNNNNNNNNNNNNNNNNNNNNNNNNNNNNNNNNNNNNNNNNNNNNNNNNNNNNNNNNNNNNNNNNNNNNNNNNNNNNNNNNNNNNNNNNNNNNNNNNNNNNNNNNNNNNNNNNNNNNNNNNNNNNNNNNNNNNNNNNNNNNNNNNNNNNNNNNNNNNNNNNNNNNNNNNNNNNNNNNNNNNNNNNNNNNNNNNNNNNNNNNNNNNNNNNNNNNNNNNNNNNNNNNNNNNNNNNNNNNNNNNNNNNNNNNNNNNNNNNNNNNNNNNNNNNNNNNNNNNNNNNNNNNNNNNNNNNNNNNNNNNNNNNNNNNNNNNNNNNNNNNNNNNNNNNNNNNNNNNNNNNNNNNNNNNNNNNNNNNNNNNNNNNNNNNNNNNNNNNNNNNNNNNNNNNNNNNNNNNNNNNNNNNNNNNNNNNNNNNNNNNNNNNNNNNNNNNNNNNNNNNNNNNNNNNNNNNNNNNNNNNNNNNNNNNNNNNNNNNNNNNNNNNNNNNNNNNNNNNNNNNNNNNNNNNNNNNNNNNNNNNNNNNNNNNNNNNNNNNNNNNNNNNNNNNNNNNNNNNNNNNNNNNNNNNNNNNNNNNNNNNNNNNNNNNNNNNNNNNNNNNNNNNNNNNNNNNNNNNNNNNNNNNNNNNNNNNNNNNNNNNNNNNNNNNNNNNNNNNNNNNNNNNNNNNNNNNCGCUCGAUCGGGUUCAGUUAACAGCCAUCGAUCGAUCGCUCGGGUUCAGUAACGCGUAGCCUGCAGUGCAAUCGCUCGGGUUCGGUUAGAGCCCAAUGCCUCGCUCAGGUUCAGUUAGAGCCAACGCCUCGCACACACGCGCGUACGUGUACGAGAGAAACUCGCAUCGCUUGGCCCCCAACCUCCCACCGUAACCGGGAACUCCCCGAAAUUUUCCUCACCCUCGCUUCUACCAUGUUUUUUUCCAUCAUGGACGGCCCAAAGAAUGUCAUGCAGCUGCGUCUCCGGCCCGCCCAGGACGAAAAGCCCAUUUUCUGUCAUGAUUUUUUGUCAUAGAAGUAGGAGCCCACCACAUCUAUGAUGAUACCGGGUUUUGUCACAAUUAUCGUCAUAGAAGUGUCAUAUGUAUGACAGAAAAAAAAUUCGUUCGGCCCAAAAUGUCACGGAUGUGUCUUUUUUUGUAGUGACACAUCCUUUUCCUCAGAGGUUGACGGCAAAAGAAAGGGCCAACUAUGCUCCCCAAUUAUCAAAGCUUAGAGCCUUCAUGGCGAACGGUUUGACAGGAGUUGAUCUUGCUCGUUGCUGGAAAAGCUGGAGUAUUCUGCCCUUAAGCCGGCGCUCCGGUUUGAUGUGUGAGUAUACGGGGAGUUUGAAGGAUGCUCAGCGGCACAUUGACAUUCAGCUUACAGAUGCAGAAGUCACUGAGGCUGUAAAGAAAAUGCUGAACGAGCCGGAGGCUGUCUGUGCUCAAACCGGAGUACCCCCUUUCUGAGCUUUCAACAAACCGCCAGCUGUAAGAAUCAUAUAAUCUUUUUAUCUGAAGUUGCUUUUGUCCAAAUAUUCUCUGAAAGUGUGAUUUUUUUCUGACAGGGUGAUGAUCCAUUCUGGAACAAGAAACCACCACAAGACAAACCGGUCAAGCCACAAGAUAAACUGGUCAAGCCAGUUCGUCCAAAGACCAAGGUUAUCAAAAAACCUGCGAAGAAAAGGACCAUUGCAUCCUCCGAGCUACCAGCUGAUGACGAUGUGGGUAAUCCAGAAUCAGAUGUAGAACUUGACUCUCUUGGUUCAUUUUUUGUACAUCUCAUAGACAAUGAUUAUUAUCAGGACGACGCUGAAGGCAGUUAUGCUGAUGACAUAGAGGUAACCAUUCUUUCCUCCGAUUCAGAUCCUCUGCCAACAUCAAAAAUCCGUCAAGCAAACCGGAAAGUAAAAUUUUCUCACCCCCUUGCUUACUUGGACCCAAACUUUCUUUUGGAGACGCAGCAGCACGAGGCUCGCCGCACAACCCGGCACAGCGGCCAGGUAGUUACCUCCGCCGGUUUACCAAACGGGCCGGUUCGGAAACGCCGAUCAGAGGUCUCUUAUCCCAUUGAUACUUCAUGCCCCAAAGCAGGUUGUUUCCGCCAGCCUCUUAACCCGUCUGAUUCAAAUUAUCAAGGUACUUCUCACUCAUCUUCUGGCGAAUCGUCGGCCACAAAACUUCCACCCCUCAAAACGGUUCUUGGGUGAGCUAUACACUUGUUGUUAUCCUUGAUGUUGCUAUUUUGAUAUACUGUACUGAUCCUCAUGUUUAUUUUUCUCAGCGCCAAGCCCAGACCCAGCAAGAAAGCUCGGUUGAAUAAACCGGCUGAUGAAGACGUGGCUGUUGAACCGGAGAAAACUCCAGAUCCUGAAGAGACCAACAUUGAUGCCAUACUGAAUGACCCACUGCCUCAAGAUCAUGACUUCGUUGCUGAGCAGGCAGAAGUUGACACCACAAGCCAUGUUGACCAGCCAACCAGCCCUGUCCGAACUGACAAUAAACCGGCAAGCCCAGUUAAAAAUACUGACAAACCGCCAACCCCAGUAACGGCUGCUGAUGACAAAGAUGAUGACAUUAUGAUUACUGGCACUGGCUAUACUGCUCCGGGCAAUCCUGUCGCUUUGUCAAAGCAUACUGCCAAAGAUGAGCUCUCUGCAAUUGGCAAAGGCAAAUGGAAUGCCGAUUUGUCAAAUUAUGCCCAUCUGAAUGUUCAAGACCUUCACUCUGGCUUCCUGAACCGUCUGUACACCAGCCGUGACUAUGAAGCCGGUUUGGUAAAUAUGAUGAAGGAGCGAUAUGAGGUAACUUCAUAAGUGUUUCUCUCUUAUAUUUAAUUGCAGCUUAUCAACUGCAGUAGCUCCCAAGUGACGGUUUAAGAUACCAAUUUAAACCGGGACUUAGUAACAAUUUCCUGUUUGCAAUAAUGCAUCUUAACUUCACUGAUGUAGCCCCCAAGGGCCGGUUUAAUUUUAUAAAGAUGAACCGGGACUUUGUAGAAGAAUUCCCAUAUCAGCAUUUUAUGAGCAAAUACACAUUAGCCCCCAAGUGCCAAGCUUAAUACUUGUAUUGUGCUUGGGACUUGUAAAAAUUUCUGAUAAAGAGCAAAUAUGCAUUAGCCCCCAAGUACUAAGGGCAUAACUUGUUAUAUGCUUGGUACUUCAAAUAUGUACUGUCAACUCAUUAUAUAUCUGUCUCUUUAUAGGCUGAACUGAGCAAGAAGGAAAGCCAAACCGCUGAUCUGCAGGAGAACCUCAAGUCCCAACAAGCUGAAACCUCCAAAGCGAAGGAAGAAUUGACCUGCGCUCUAGGCGCUAUGGAGAAACUGAAAGAGGGCUUCAACAAAGAGCGGGCGGUUUAGGAGACUGAAAAAUCCGCUUUGAUAAAAAGGGCUGAAAAAGCAGAAGCCGCUCUUAAACCGGUGGUUGAUGAACUGACCGGCGUAAAGCGGCAGAUUCAUGCCAUGACUGCUGCUGUGUUCGGUAAAAUAUCUUUUCCUUAAUACUUUCAACAUAUCUCUCCCAUGUGUUGUCAGUUUACUGAUGUGUACAAUGGUGCAGGAACUCGCAUUAGCCAUCUGGGCUCUGACGUACAGAAGAAAUUGAAAGCGGCCUAUACUCUGAUAGAGCAGCUGUAUACCGGUGCGCAACGGAUCAUCUGCAUCGCUUCACACAACAAACCUCCUCCAACAUUGAUCAAGGACACCUUAGAAAGGCUAUCCAUGCUGCCUGCCCGGGUUGAAGAACUAAAGAUAGCUGCGGCAAGGGCCGGAGCUCUGACGUACAGAAGAUUGAUAUAUUGGAAGCCUAUGUUUGGACAUCGGAAGUGUUCCGGGUGAAAUCGGGAUUUUUCCGGAGUACCGGGAGGUUACCGGAACCCCCCGGUAACUUAAUGGGCCUUAGUGGGCCUAGGUGGAAGAGAGGAGAGGAGGCCAGGGCAGGGCCGCGCACCCCUUCCCCCCCAGUCCGAAUAGGACAAGGAGAGGGGGGGCGGCGCCCCCCCUUCCUUCCUCCCCUCCACCUCUUCCCCCUCUCUCCUAGUCCAACAUGGAAAAGGGGGGGAGUCCUACUCCCGGUAGGAGUAGGACUCCUCCUAGGCGCGCCUCUCCUCCUUGGCCGGUGGCCUCCCCCUUGCUCCUUUAUAUACGGGGGCAGGGGGCACCUCUCGACACACAAUUGAUCAACGAUCUUUUAGCCGUAUGCGGUGCCCCCCUCCACCAUAUUACACCUCGAUAAUAUCGUAGCGGAGCUUAGGCGAAGCCCUGCGUCUGUAGAACAUCAUCAUCGUCACCACGCCGUCGUGCUGACGAAACUCUCCCUCAACACUCGGCUGGAUCGGAGUUCGAGGGACGUCAUCGAGCUGAACGUGUGCUGAACUCGGAGGUGCCGUACGUUCGGUACUUGAUCGGUCGGAUCGUGAAGACGUACGACUACAUCAACCGUGUUGUGUUAACGCUUCCGCUAUCGGUCUACGAGGGUACGUAGACAACACUCUCCCCUCUCGUUGCUAUGCAUCACCAUGAUCUUGCGUGUUCGUAGGAAAUUUUUUGAAAUUACUACGUUCCCCAACAUUAUGAUACCAAUUUAAACCGGGACUUAGUAACAAUUUCAUGUUUGCAGCAAUGCAUCUUAACUUCACUGAUGUAGCCCCCAAGGGCCGGUUUAACUUUAUAAAGAUGAACCGGGACUUUGUAGAAGAAUUCCCAUAUCAGCAUUUUAUGAGCAAAUACACAUUAGCCCCCAAGUGUCAAGCUUAAUACUUGUAUUGUGCUUGGGACAUGUAAAAAUUUCUGAUUAAGAGCAAAUAUGCAUUAGCCCCCAAGUACUAAGGGCAUAACUUGUUAUGUGCUUGGUACUUCAAAUAUGUACUAUCAACUCAUUAUAUAUCUGUCUCUUUAUAGGCUGAACUGAGCAAGAAGGAAAGCCAAACCGCUGAUCUGCAAGAGAACAUCAAGUCCCAACAGGCUGAAACUUCCAAAGCAAAAGGUGUGGUGACGAGCGCCUUAGCCGCUAUGGAAAAGCUAAAGGAGAGCUUCGCCAAGGAGCGGGCGGAUUGGAACACAGAGAAAUCCGCUUUGCGGAAAAGAGCUGAAGAUGCAGAAGCAGCUCUCAAACCGGUGGUAGACGAGCUGACUGGUGUAAAACGGCAAGUACAUGCUAUGACCGCUGCUGUGUUUGGUAAGCAUCCUUGCUUUAUACUUUCAACAUAUCUUCCCAUGUGUUGCUGGUUUAUUGACGUUUCUAAUGAUGCAGGAACUCGUAUUAGCCAUCUGGGCUCUGACGUACAGAAGAAAUUGAAAGCAGCCUAUACUCUGAUAGAACAGCUGUAUGCCGGUGCGCAGCGGAUCAUCUGCACCGCUGCACACAAUAAACCUCCUCCAACAUUGAUCAAGGACACCUUAGAAAGGCUAUCCAUGCUGCCUGCCCGGGUUGAAGAACUAAAGAAAGCUGCGGCAUGGGCCGGAGCUCUGACCGCUCUAACCCGGGCAAAGGCGUGGGUGCCUGAUCUUGAUCCGGUGGAUGUGGCUAAAGGCUUCCCAAGCUUAAAAGAAGACGGAUCAGAAUUUGGCCAGGAGGAUCUCCGCGCCAUAAACCGGGAAGUACGUCCACUGGCUUGUCAAUUGGCUGAAGAAGCUGAUCUCUCAUACUAUCAGGCAAGUUAUGAUGACAAGAACAGACGGGUUGCUGCACCAAUUCCGGAAGCGCAAAAUCUGAUCCCUCCAAUUCGUAAGCACACUUAUGCCCCUGAUAUUGAACCGUCCACCCUUAUAAGCGACGAAGGUGUGUUCCAAGCUUUAACUAGGAUCGACUGGGCAACUGUUGACUUCCAGCCGCUGGGUAGAGACGAAGAAGAUGAAUCGGCGCCAGAUGAUCCGCAGCCGUCAGGUCAAGCUGAUAAGAAAUCAUAAUUCGGGGGCCGGUUUAGUCUUCCACGUGCUGCAAUGCUUAUUGAGAAACAAUUAUCCCUUUGGGCACUGAAACGCCUUGUAAUAGGCUAGUCAAAACACUUGGUCUGUUAUGCCUUCGUGCAUAUUUAUCUGCAACUGAUGCGUGCUAAUCCGCCAUGCUUAAGAUAUGAUGUUCAUAAUCCAUAGCUAUUUAUUCAAGUUGUUCCUACAGAUAAGAAGCUUAAAGCGCCCUGGCGGUUUACCACCGGGCGGGUCAUGAUACCCAAAUAUAUAUAUGACCAAGGUUUAUAACCAAGGUUGUAAAAGAUAACCAAAUAUGGAAAUAUAUGAUACCUGUGACCUUUAGGCAUAGUGUUGGCUGACCAACUGUGUAAUGAGGGUAAUAACCCUAAUUCGGAGUAGAAGUAACUCCUGUUAUAUGAUGCCGAUUUAUCAGAAAACCAUUCUGGGCUGUGAUAAACACCGGUUUACUCCAUACUGGUGACUUUGAGUCAGAACUAGACUGGGCUGAUAGUCUCCAGAUUAUAAUUUGAUCGUGUACUGACAACUUGUAGUUGACAGCCUAACCGGGUUGAUAAACACCGGUUUUAAAAACAUCACAAAUCUUAUGAAACAAAGAAAACUUAGCAAACGGCAAAUAAAACCGUCGUAGUCGAGGCUUUUCACGGGCUGCCAGGCCCCAAAUUCAAGGCUUUUCAUGGGCUGCCAGGCCACUGAGUUAAACCAUUUUUGCAAAGCCUUUUAAGAUGGUCCUCAAUCCUUAACCAAUCAUCGUUUUAACUUGACAAGUUCAGGGUCUUCAUUUUAGAGUAACUUUUCAAAGUUCGAAGGGUCAUACCAGGUUUACCUGGGCAGAGUGACUUACUUAAAUAGGCAGGUUAACCUGGGGUUUUAGGUGUAUACACUAGGCUUCCAAGCCAUGGCUUGAUAGCCUGUUACAAGUGUAGAUUCUGAGUUCAUUUCGACAACAAAGAAUCCCCAAGCAACAUUGUGAGCUGUGCUCAGUGGGUGCCUAUGUUUGAGCUGUUGUUUUACAACACUCUCUUUGGCCCCGGAUUGAUGUGGCUUUGAGCCGAUCAAGAGGUGUAGCUAUGGUUCGGAUACGACCAAGCCCCCAAGUGAUGUUGUGGCAUUGCGUCGAUCAAGAGGUGUAGCUAUGGUUCGGAUACGACCAAGCCCCCAAGUGAUGCUGUGGCAUUGCGCCGAUCAAGAGGUGUGCUAUGGUUCGGAUACGACCAAGCCCCCAAGUGAUCUAAUAUAAAGCUUUGAGAAGCUAAAUCAAGGGGUAAACCAGACGCCGCUUUGUAAGCUCCAUGUAACCACACAUGAUGUAAGAAAAACAACAGAUACCCCGCUUUAGCUCAGGUUCCGGUUUAUUAUAUUGAUCAUAAUAUAUACAAUGUCAUAAUAUGUACAUAAGCAGAGCCUGUAGCUCAAGUAUAGUAGGGCCGAAGAUGAGCAAUAUUCCACGGCCGGUUGGUCUCCUCCUCCGAUUUACGUGAGUCUUUGCGCUCUCGAACAUCGAUUAGGUAGUAUGAUCCAUUGUGUAGAUUCGUGCUAACCACAAAGGGUCCUUCCCAGGGGGGGAUAGCUUGUGCAUGUCCGUCUGAUCCUGGAUGAGUCGAAGCACCAAAUCGCCUUCUUGAAAGGUUCUGGUUCUAACCCGGCGGCUAUGAUAACGACGCACAUCUUGCUGAUAAAUCGCCGAACGGGCUGCCGCCAUGUCACGCUCCUCGUCUAACAGGUCAAGAGAUUCCUGCCGUGCCUUCUUGUUGUCAGCUUCCACAUAUGCCGCUACACGAGGUGAGUCAUGACAGAUGUCACUAGGAAGAACCGCUUCCGCUCCAUAAACCAUGAAGAACGGUGUGUAUCCUGUCGAUCUGUUGGGUGUGGUAUUGAUGCUCCAUAACACAGAAGGUAACUCCUCAACCCAACAACCCGGCGUCCGUUGCAAAGGAACCAUAAGCCGGGGUUUGAUGCCUCUCAAGAUCUCUUGAUUGGCCCUCUCCGCUUGACCAUUAGACUAUGGGUGAGCCACUGAUGACACGUCAAGCCGGAUGUGCUCAUGUUGACAGAACUCCUUCAUGGCACCUUUUGACAGAUUGGUACCAUUGUCUGUUAUAAUGUUGUGUGGAAAGCCGAACCGGAAGAUCACCUUUUUGAUGAAUUGAACCGCCGUGGCUGCAUCACACUUACUAACUGGCUCUGCCUCCACCCACUUUGUGAACUUAUCAACCGCCACCAAAAGGUGGGUCUUCUUGUCCCUGGACCUCUUGAAAGGCCCAACCAUAUCCAGCCCCCAAGUUGCAAACGGCCAAGUGAUUGGAAUCAUCCUCAAUUCUUGAGCCGGUACAUGAGCGCGCCUUGAGAAUUUCUGACAGCCAUCACAUCUUUUGACCAAGUCCUCGGCAUCAGCAUGAGCUGUCAACCAAUAGAAACCGUGACGAAACGCCUUGGCCACCAAAGAUUUUGAACCAGCGUGGUGACCACAAUCUCCUUCGUGGAUCUCACGCAAAAUUUCGCGACCUUCCUCAGGAGACACACAGCGUUGAAACGCCCCUGUCACACUACAAUGAUGUAACUCUCCAUUGAUAAUAGUCAUGGACUUGGACCACCGGAUUAUCUGCCUGGCCAAAGUUUCAUCCUCUGGUAACUCGCCCCGGUUCAUAUACGCCAGAUAUGGAACCGUCCAAUCCGGAAUAACAUGAAGAGCCGCCACCAACUGAGCCUCCGGAUCAGGAACAGCCAAAUCCUCAUCUCCAGGGAGCUUGACGGACGGAUUAUGCAAAACAUCCAGGAAGACAUUAGGUGGAACCGGUUUACGUUGGGAACCCAGGCGGCUUAAAGCGUCCGCCGCUUCAUUCUUCCGCCGGUCCACAUGAUCCACCUGAUAACCUUUAAAGUGACCUGCAACAAUAUCCACCUCACGACGAUAUGCUGCCAUUAGUGGGUCCUUGGAAUCCCAAGUGCCGGACGCUUGUUGAGCCACCAGAUCCGAGUCACCGAAGCACUUUACUCGGCUUAGGUUCAUCUCCUUAGCCAUCUGAAGACCAUGGAGUAAAGCCUCAUAUUCAGCUGCAUUGUUAGUGCAAGGGAACAUUAAACGGAGAACAUAACAAAACUUAUCACCUCGUGGGGAAGUUAAUACGACUCCAGCCCCCGAGCCCUCCAAUUGUCUGGACCCAUCAAAAUGAAUAGUCCAAUAAGUAUGAUCCGGCUUCUCCUCUGGCGCUUGUAAUUCUGUCCAAUCAUUGAUGAAAUCCACAAGUGCCUGAGAUUUGAUCACCGUUCGGGGUAUGUAUUUCAACCUGUGAGGCCCGAGCUCUAUAGCCCACUUAGCAAUCCGUCCAGUUGCUUCCCUAUUCUGGAUUAUAUCUCCCAACGGAGCAGAGCUGACCACCGUGAUGGGAUGACCUUGGAAAUACUGCUUAAGCUUCCGGCUUGCCAUAAAAACCCCAUACACCAAUUUUUGCCAAUGCGGGUACCUCUGCUUGGACUCAAUAAGUACCUCACUGAUAUAGUAGACCGGCCGUUGAACCGGAUAUUCCUUUCCGGCCUCCUUGCGCUCCACCACAAUAGCCACACUAACAGCCCGGGGCUGCCACAUAUAGCAACAAUGGCUCUUUGUCAACCGGAGCAGCGAGAACCGGCGGAUUAGCCAGCUGCCGCUUUAAGUCCUCAAAUGCUUCAUUAGCGGCGUCACUCCAGACGAAGUCAUCCGUUUUCUUCAGCAUCUGAUACAAAGGGAUAGCCUUCUCACCAAGACGACUGAUAAACCGGCUCAACGCGGCAAUCCGGCCUGCCAGGCGUUGAACAUCAUUGAUACACUUCGGUUUGGCCAAGGAGGUGAUGGCCUUGAUCUUUUCCGAGUUAGCUUCAAUACCCCGGUUAGACACCAAAAAACCCAAGAGCUUGCCUGCAGGUACACCAAAGACGCACUUGGCCGGAUUAAGCAUCAUUUUGUAAACCCGCAGGUUAUCGAAGGUUUCCUUCAAGUCAUCAAUCAAUGUCUCCUUCUUCCUUGAUUUUACCACAAUAUCAUCCACAUAGGCAUGAACAUUGCGGCCGAUCUGUUUAUGAAGACAAUUCUGCACACACCGUUGAUAAGUCGCCUGGGCACUCUUGAGCCCAAAGGGCAUGGACACAUAGCAGAAGGAUCCAAAAGGGGUUAUGAAGGCUGUCUUCUCCUGGUCCUUAACUGCCAUUUUGAUCUGAUGAUAACUAGAAUAUGCAUCCAAAAAGCUCAAACGCUCGCAAACUGCCGUAGCAUCAAUAAUUUGAUCAAUACGAGGAGGGUAAAAGGAUCUGCUGGACAAGCUUUGUUAAGAUCUGUGUAGUCCACACACAUACGCCAAGUGCCGUUCUUUUUAAGGACCAGCACCGGAUUAGCCAACCACUCAGGAUGGAGUACUUCAAUGAUAAAUCCAGCCGCCAAGAGCCUGGCUACUUCUUCUCCAAUAGCUUUGCGUCUUUCUUCAUUGAACCGGCGGAGAAACUGCUUGACCGGUUUAUAUUUGGGAUCAACAUUGAGAGUGUGCUCAGCGAGUUCUCUCGGUACACCUAGCAUGUCAGAAGGCUUCCAUGCAUAGAUGUCCCGAUUCUCAUGGAUGAACUCGAUGAGCGCGCUUUCCUAUUUCGGAUCCAAGUUAGCGCUGAUGCUAAACUGCUUGGACGAAUCGCCAGGCACGAAGUCAACAAGCUUAGUCUCAUCAGCCGAUUUAAACUUCAGGGCCGGAUCAUGCUCUGUAGUUGGUUUCUUCAACGAAGUCAUAUCUGUCGGAUCAACAUUGUCCUUGUAAAACUUCAACUCUUCCAUUGCACAAACCGACUCAGCAUAAGCCGCAUCACCUUCUUCACAUUCCAGAGCAAUCUUGCGGCUCCCAUGCACAGUUAUAGUUCCCUUGUGACCCGGCAUCUUGAGCUGCAGAUAGACAUAACAAGGCCGUGCCAUAAACUUAGCAUAAGCUGGCCGUCCAAAUAGGGCAUGAUACGGGCUUCUGAUCUUCACCACUUCAAAGGUCAAGGUUUCUGAUCUCGAGUCAUGCUCAUCUCCAAAAGCCACCUCCAGAGCUAUCUUACCAACAGGAUAUGCCGACUUACCAGGCACCACACCAUGGAACACCGUAUUGGACGGUUUAAGAUCUUUAUCUGUUAAUCCCAUGUGACGGAAAGUUUCAUAAUAAAGGAUAUUGAUACUACUCCCUCCAUCCAUGAGUACCUUAGUGAACUUAUAACCUCCCACCUGAGGUGCCACCACCAGAGCCAGAUGACCCGGAUUGUCAACCCGGGGUGGAUGAUCUUCUCUACUCCACACAAUCGGCUGCUCGGACCAGCGCAAAUAACGGGGCACCGCCGGUUCAACGGCAUUCACCGCCCUCUUAUGAAGCUUCUGAUCGCGCUUGUCCAAGCUAGUGGUGAAGACAUGAUACUGUCCACUAUUCAACUGCUUCGGGUUGCUCUGGUAACCCGACUGCUACUGCUGCUACUGAUUGCCCUGAUGAUUAUAGCCACCUUGGUUACCCUGAUUACUUUGAUUGUUAUGUCCACCCUGAUUACCGUGGAAGCCUGAACCGGAAUUUCCUCCACCAUACCCCGGCCCAUGAGACCCGGGGCCCGAACCGCCUCCUAGUCCAUGAUCAUACCGGAAAGAAUCAGAAUUUUUGAACUCUUGCAUGAUGUAACAAUCUUUCUAGAGGUGCGUCGACGGGUUCUCCUUCGUCCCAUGCUUUGGACAGGGCUGGUUCAACAGAUAAGACAAAUGGUCCGGAUUAGGACUUGGCCCUCCACCACGCUAGGGCGGUUUACCCUUACGCCGCUGGCCCUUGUCAUGUGUAUUAGUAUUAGCCACAAAUUCUAAACCGUGGUCCGCCUUACGCUUGCCGAUGUUUCCAUGACCCGCCGGGUUGUGGUGCUGCCCCUUGGCGUUGCCGCUCUUUUUUCCCUUCCCUGUCUUAUCAUCGUCAGACUCGGGAUCCUUGGUACUAUCAGAGUCGGCAUUCUUCACCAGUGCAGCCAUAAGGGUUCCCAUGUCAUUACAAUGAUGUUUGAGCCAUCCCAAUUUCAACUUCACGGGUUCAAACCGGCAAUUGCCUUCCAAUGUUAAAAGUGCGGUGUCAGCAUUGAUGCGGUCCGAUGAAUGCAAAAUCUCCGAAACCCGGCGCACCCAAUGGGUUGUUAACUCUCCUUCCUCCUGGACACAGGUAGCUAAAUCCACAAUUGACAUGGGUUGCUUGCAUGUAUCCUUGAAAUUCUGAAUAAACCGGGCUCUCAACUCGGCCCAUGACCUAACAGAAUUGGCCGGUAAGCUCUUUAGCCACGGGCCGUCCCUUCUAGCAUCAUGGUGAAGUAUUUUGCACAUGUCGUAUCAUCCACAUCCAGCAUCUCCAUGGCCAUCUCAUAGCUUUCGACCCUUGUUUCAGGGGAUAAAUCGGCGGUGUAAUUCGGCACCUUGUGCGGGCCCUUGAAAUCCUUGGGCAGGCGCACAUUGCGCAACGCCGAGACGAGACACGGCACUCCCAAAGAACUAGAGGUAACUCCUGGUUCCACCGAUGUGGUUGGACGAACCGGAGUAAGCUGACGGGCUUCAUGCUGCGCCACUAACUCGGCCUCUCUGCGUGCCCGAGCCCGGUCCACCACCUCCUGAGCAUCACCAGCACCACCCGCCGGGUUAUUGCCACGGGGCGGACCAUGGUUCCGUGCAUUGCUUGACACUGCCGGUUCAUCCAUACGCCUGCUGUAACUCCGGCUUGGACAAGGAGUGGAAUGAAUCCGAUCGCGACUAUAUGAAUAAGCCUCCUGUUGAACCAAGGUUGUUUGAAGAAGCUCCUUAACGCGACGCGUCUCGACCACCGCCGGAGAAUCGCCUUCGAUCGGGAUGGCCGCCAGCCGUGAAGCGGCAGCGACAAUGUUGUCCAUCGGGUUAGAGUAAUGACCCGGUGGCGUGGGGACAUGUGGUGUUACAAUGUUGUUCUGACGAGGCGGAUCCAUCAAACGUGGCUGAACCGGCUCCCCUGCUCCAGGUGCCUCCACCCGGUUUACCACCGGCGGAUUACUCGUCCCUGCUCCUGGGGUGUUAAAGAGAUUUCUAGCGUCAUAAACUGGCGGCAGGCGAGAUCUAUACCUCCUCUUCAGGACUUCGUCCGACGCACUCUGAUCCAGCAUAAUCCGGUAAGCUUGUGCAUCCAAAGCGGCCCGCUCCAUGGCCAUCCUGGUAUCCUCAGCUGCUAAGUCGGCUUUGGCCCGGGUGAUCUGAUCUUUCACUUUCGCGACUUCCGCAUUGUGUGCAUCCUGAUCCACCGGGUUAACCUCCGCCAUCAGCGUUGCCAACGCGUCAAACAAAUCGGAUAGAACCUAAGCUGGCGGUCGCACAGGGCCUCCUGCCCCAGCCGCUUUGCCGCUGUCGUUCAGGAAAUCAUUGCCGCUGCGGUCGAAGAGUGGUGCGCCGGUUGCGUACCGGCCAUGAAGAUCGCAACCCGGUUUGGCAGAUCAAAGCGGUCCGGAAUACUGUCGCCAUCGGAACAGCCCCCAAUCCGGCCAUCUUGUAACUGAUAUAACGACUCGGUCUCUCCGGUCGAUGACUCGUCGCCGGGAUAAACGAAGGUCUCACCACCAGAUUCCGAUCUAUCCUCAGAUUCCCCUCCAUGGAUAACUCCCACGAAGGCACGCUUCAUGACAGGCUUGACCCGGGCAGAUCACGCACGCUGAGCCGUUUCGACGAGAUCGGUGCAGAUGUCCGGCUCAAGGCCCGGUUCGCCGAUCUUGCCAAUGAAAACGUGUAUGCCACCAAAGGGGACCCGGUACCCGUACUCGAUUGAGCCGGCCUCGGGGCCCCAGCCUACAUCGUCGAUGUAGAGCUUGCCGCGACGACUCUUGGUCAUCCGGCCCACAGCGUAACCCUUGAGUCCUUCGAAGUUGCCCUCCAAGAACUUGAAACCAUCGUGCGAUAGCCCCACGGUGGGCGCCAACUGUCGUGGUUUUGUCACGGCAGAUGUCCUAGAGAAAGGACUUAGUCGUGGAGCCAUCGCUACGGGUUAACUUAAAGGGGUUAAAGUGGACAAGGGACGCAAGAGAUUUUUUAUACUAGUUCGGCCCCUUACGAUGAAGGUAAAAGCCUACGUCUAGUUGUGAUGGAAUUGUUGGGGUUUCGAUGACCAGGGAGCGAAUACGCUUUGCCUGAGUCUCGAGUUGUUGUCUGUUGUCCUUGAACCGCCGCCGGGUCGUCCCCUUAUAUACCUGGGUUGACGCCCAUCGGUUUACAGAAUCCUGAGGCCGGCUCAUAAUCGUGUCCGGCUCAGUCUCUGCUACUUCUAUCUUACAACACAAUAUACAUAUCAACGCCAGUUUAUGUCUACAGGCCUUAAACCGGAUUUGGGCCCUGGGCCUUCAUAAAGCAUCACCGUCUGUCUUCAUGGACUUCAGAUACAGAUGAACUACUUAUGGGGUUAACCCGGCUUCUCCUGGCCGGUUUACGCCCAGUGGUAAUAUCCCCAACAGGUAUAGAAGGUUGCGGCGGUGGAAAUAGGGUUUUUUGCUCUGUAUCUGAUGUUUUCGGGGUACGUAGGUAUAUAUAGGAGGAAGAAGUCGGUUGGUGGAGCUACGAGGGGCCCACGAGGGUGGAGGGCGCGCCCAGGGGGGUAGGCGCGCCCCCUGCCUCGUGGCCUCCUCUUUGAUUGCUUGACGUCCACUCCAAGUCCUUUGGAUCACGUUUGUUCCGAAAAUCACGUUCCCCAAGGUUUCAUUCCGUUUGGACUCCGUUUGAUAUUCCUUUCCUUCGAAACACUGAAAUAGGCAAAAAAACAGCAAUUUGGGCUGGGCCUCCGGUUAAUAGGUUAGUCCCAAAAAUAAUAUAAAAGUGUAUAAUAAAGCCCAUUAAACGUCCAAAACAGAAUAUAUAAUAGCAUGGAACAAUAAAAAUUAUAGAUAUGUUGGAGACGUAUCAAGCACCACUUGGAAUUUGAGUUCAUCUACCUACAUGGGUUAGUUUUGCAAGGAAGACCACUUACGUAUCCAAGGUGAAAACUAUGAAACUUGAUAUAGAAUUUGUCAAAGGAUAUGUUUGAAGGGUUUCAUGCUUCCUUGUCUUCAACCACCAUUGUGUAGAGACUUGGUGAUGUAGAGAUUGCUCAAGAUGUGAGUGAGUGGCAAUCUCAUAGAUUUAGAUUCAUCCAAGUACCUACAAGGGUUAGAUAGCAUGCAAGGGUGCAAGUAUAUCCAAGACAUAUAAAUAGCAUCAUGGAAGAAAUAUCAAGGAUUGGUCAAAGGCUCAUGCCUUGCAUGUAUCCAAAUGGAGUUCCUACUCCAAGUUUGAAGCAUCAAUGAUGUUCAAUUCACCUCUCAAACGGCAAAAGACUUUCUCAUCAAGAGGUUUGGUGAAUAUAUCCGCUAAUUGCUUAUCGGUGCGAACAUGCUUAAGAUCAAUGUCCCCUUUGGCAACAUGAUCUCGAAUGAAAUGAUGACGAACUUCAAUAUGCUUAGUUCGAGAAUGUUGCACAUGAUUGUGAGAAAUCUUAAUAGCACUUUCAUUGUCACAAAGCAAUGGAACAUGUUUCACAUAUAUCCCAUAAUCCUUCAGAGUUUGGGUCAUCCAAAGUAAUUGAGCACAACAUGAACCAGCGGCAAUGUAUUCCGCUUCGGCGGUGGAUAAGGAUACCGAGUUUCGUUUCUUGGAGGACCAAGACACAAGAGAUCUACCAAGAAAUUGACAAGUACCCGAAGUGGACUUUCUAUCAACCUUGUCUCCGGCAUAGUCUGAAUCGGAGUAGCCGAAAAGAUCGAAAGAAGACCUCUUAGGAUACCAAAUGCCAAAAUUUGGUGUAUGUAUUAAGUAUCUCACUAUCCUUUUCACAGCCUUAAGAUGACAUUCUUUAGGGGCCGCUUGAUAUCGUGCACACAUGCACACACUUAGCAUAAUAUCGGGACGAGAGGCACAUAGGUAUAACAAUGAACCAAUCAUAGAGCGGUAAACUUUUUGAUCAACCGGUUCACCAUCUUUGGUCAGAUCAAGAUGUCCACUAGUAGGCAUGGGUGUAUUCAUACCUUUGCAUUCUUGCAUACUGAACUUCUUGAAUAAGUCCUUGGUGUACUUUGUUUGAGAAACAAAGGUACCUUCCUUAGUUUGCUUGAUUUGCAAACCGAGAAAGAACUUGAGUUCACUCAUCAUAGACAUCUCAAACUUCUCCGACAUUAGCUUUCCAAACUUCUCACUAAAAUGAGGGUUAGUAGAACCAAAUAUAAUACCAUCAACUUAAAUUUGGCACACAAAUAGUUCUCCGUUAACCCUUUUUGUGAAAAGAGUAGAAUCUAUCUUUCCAAUUUCAAAGCCUUUUUCAAUAAGGAACUUGGUCAAGCAUUUAUACCACGCUCUAGGAGCUUGUUUAAGACCAUAAAGAGCUUUGUGAAGUUUAUAGACAUGAUUAGGUUUGUUAGGAUUGACAAAGCCGGGAGGUUGCUUAACAUAAACUUCCUCCUCAAUUUCACCAUUUAGAAAAGCACUUUUAAUGUCCAUUUGGUACAAGGUGAUAUCAUGGUGAUUAGCAUAAGCAAGUAAGAUGCGAAUGGACUCAAGUCUAGCAACGGGGGCAUAUGUCUCACCAUAGUCCAUACCUUCCACUUGAGUGUAGCCUUGGGCGACGAGACGUGCUUUGUUGCGAACUACUUGUCCAUCUUCAUCUUGCUUGUUGCGAAACACCCAUUUGGUACCAAUGAUGUUGUGGUUGUUGUCGGGCUUCUCGACAAUGUCCACACUCGGUUUCUCUCAAAGUUGUGUAGCUCUUCAUGCAUGGCAUUUAUCCAAUCCGGAUCUUCCAAUGCUUCUUCAACCUUCAUAGGUUCAAUGCUAGAGAUGAAUGAAUAAUGUUCACAAAAGUUAGUCAAACGAGUUUUAGAGCGAGUGAUUCUCCCGGUUUGGAUAUCAUUGUAGUUUGCUCGAUGGGAUGGUCUUUGGCGACUCUUGCUCGAACUCGUGGGAGCUUUUGCUUGGCACGGGGUGGAACAUCUUCUUCAUCUUGUUCUUCUUCUUGGCCUUCUUCAUUGUUGACGUUGUCGUUCUCUUGUCGUGGUGGAGAAGGAGGUUGAUGAGGUUCAUCUUGGUGUACUUCCUCGUUUUCUUCAUCUUGAUGUGUCCCACUUGUGGACGCUUCCGUAUCAACUCUUGGUUCACCUUGUCGUGAGGUGGAAGCUUCCACUUGGACGGACGAGGUACUCUCCUUCACCUCCGUUGGACGAAUCUUGCCAAUAGACAAGUCUUGGAUUGCUUCCGAAGGGUCUUUGUCUCCUACAUCAAUUGGCAAUUGCUCUACUUGCGAGCCGUUAGAUUCAUCAAACUUCACAUCUAUCAUCUCUUCAACAUUUCGGGUGAAAUUGUUGUAGACACGGUAAGUGUGAGAGUUUGAGCCAUAACCAAGCAGGAAACCUUCAUGAGAUUUAGGAGCAAAUUUAGAACGACGAUGCUUAUCAAGAAUGUAGCACUUUGAGCCGAAUACUCGAAAGUAUCCAACUUGGGGUUUGUUACUGGUGAGAAGCUCGUAUGCCGUCUUGCCGAGUAGCUUGUGAAGAUACAAGCGAUUUGUUGCAUGACAAGCUGUCUCAACCGCUUCCGCCCAAAAGUGUUUUGGAGUCUUGUACUCAUCAAGCAUCGUUCUUGCCAUCUCAAUAAGAGUCCGGUUCUUCCUCUCAACAACUCCAUUUUGUUGAGGCGUGUACGUAGCCGAGAACUCGUGUGAGAUCCCUUCUUUGUCAAGAAAGGUAUCCACAUUUGCGUUCUUGAACUCCGUUCCGUUGUCGCUCCGAACCUUCUUGAUCUUAACUUGAAAUUUAUUUUGGGCCUUCCUAGCGAAGUUUUUGAAGAUCUUUUGGACCUGUGAUUUAUCAUCAAGAAAGAACACCUACGUAAAUCUUGAAAAAUCAUCGACUAUGACUAGACCAAAUGAGUUACCACCGAGACUCUUGUAGGCAUUGGGACCAAAGAGAUCCAUGUGAAGUAGCUCGAGCGGUCUUCUCGUGGUCAUGAUGUUCUUCACGGGGUGACUUCCUCCAAGUUGUUUUCCUGUUUGACAAGCACUACAAAGUCUAUCCUUGUCAAAUAUCACAUCUUUUAAUCCAAGGAUAUGAUCACCUUUAAUAAGCUUGUCAAGAUUUCGCAUGCCCACAUGACCUAGCCUUCUAUGCCACAACCAGCCUUUAGAAGAUUUAGCAAUUAAGCAGGUUCUAGGUUGAGCCUUUUUAGUGAAAGCAACAAUAUAAAGAUCACCUCUACGUAUACCGGUAAAGACCAUUUUAUGAUUGUCUCUUCGAAACACUUGGCAAUCUACUUCCGUAAAUAGGACACUGGAACCGAAAUCAGCAAGUCUAGAUACUGAAAGUAAAUUGUACCCAAGAGAUUCAACGAGCAUGACAUUUUGUAUGGAGCUAUCAUGUGAGAUGGCCACAUUACGAGGCCAACCACCUUACCCUUUGAGUUAUCACCAAAAGUGACAUACUUUCGAGGGCCGUCGUUUUCAGCAAGCUCACGAAACAUAUCUUUGUCUCCGGUCAUAUGAUCAGUACAUCCACUAUCAAGGACCCAUUCCUUUCCUCCAGCCAUGUAGCCGUGAAGAUUAGCCAUAAGACCAAAGUGUCUCAUCGCAUCAUCAAGAUCAUAGUCACUAUCAUCAUCCUCAUCAUAGUAUCCAUGUUCAACAUCGUCUUGUAUUUGAUCAUUUCCUAGAGAGGGUAAUUCAUUAGAUAAAUGAUCAUCACAAUGGUCACCUUUAUGAAUUAUAAUAGCUUCGGAUAUGAUAUUGCUAAUGCUUCCAACAUCUCCUUUGGCACGCAUGAGAUUGGUAAGCUCAAAUAGACAAUCACCAAACUUACGAUCACUGGAAUUCAUCUUACUCAAGGCAAUAGACUUAUGGAGAAUUUCAUCUAAGUUUUGCAAGGAAUAGUUUGGAAAUCUUUCCUCAAGAAAUCUCCAUAUAGUGUAGCCACAAUCAAGAGUAGGCAAACAUCCAAUCAAGUUUCUAGGCAAGCCUCUAGUGAUAAGAUUAACAGUUCUAAGGUUGCGGAUCAUGUCAAUAGACUCAUCAAGGGUAGGAUGCAAAGGAUCAACAUGAGGUGCACAAGGGGUAGUAAUGUACUUGUUCAAAUGGUAUUCAUUGGAAAUCUCAAACAUCUCAUUUUUCCACUCAUGAAAGAACUCUCCAUCAAGAAUAGGCACUCUACGUCUAAGACUCCCCAAUGUAGACUCAUCCAUCUUCCUCCAAUGGUGAUUAAACCAAAGCAAUGGAGACCAAAGCUCUGAUACCAAUUGAAAGGAUCGAGAAGAGGUGAAUAGAGGGGGGUGAAUAGAACCUUAGCAAGAAAAGUUGCAGUUUUUAAUUUCUUUAAGUUGAAGUGGAGUUUUGGCACAAGUUUAAACAUUCACAAUACAUAUCAAGCAAGCAUGACAAGAGUAUAUGAGCAGCGGAAAGUAAAGCAUGCAAGUUGCAAGAAUGUAAAAGGAUGGGAUUGGAGUGUGCAAACGCAAUUGGAGACUCGGAGAUUUUUUAUCCGUGGUUUCGAUAGGUGGUGCUAUCGUACAUCCACGUUGAUGGAGACUUUAACCCACGAAGGGUAACGGUUGCGCGAGUCCACGGAGGGCUCCACCCACGAAGGGUCCACGAAGAAGGAACCUUGUCUAUCCCACCAUGGUCAUCGCCCACGAAGGACUUGCCUCACUCGGGUAGAUCUUCACGAAGUAGGCGAUCUCCUUGCUUGUACAAACUCCUUGGUUCAACUCCACAAUCUUGACGGAGGCUCCCAAGUGACACCUAACCAAUCUGGGAGACACCACUCUCCAAAAGGUAAUAGAUGGUGUGUUCGUCAUGAACUCCUUGCUCUUGUGCUUCAAAUGAUAGUCUCCCCAACAGUCAACUCUCUCUCAUAGGAUUUGGAUUUGGUGGAAAGAUGAUUUGAGUGGAAAGCAACUUGGGAAGGCUAGAGAUCAAGAUUUAUGUGGUUGGAAUGGAAUAUCUUGACCUCAACACAAGUGUAGGUGGUUCUCUCUCAGAAAAUGUAUGUUGGAAGUGUAGGCAUGUUCUGAUGGCUCUCUCCACAAAUGAAGAGUGUGUGGAGGGGUAUAUAUAGCCUCCACACAAAAUCUAACCGUUACACACAAAUCACCAAACUUGGUGGGACCGAAUUAGAAAACUCGGUCGGACCGACUUGGUUCAUAAUGUGACCGUUAGGCAUUUCGGUGGGACCGAUAUGAUCAACUCGGUGGGACCGAUGUGCUAGGGUUAGGGUAAAGCCUCAUCUCGGUUUGACCGAUUACACAAACUCGGUGGGACCGAUUUUGGUAAUAAGCAAAACAGAAAGUUGGCCAAGCAAACUUGGUGGGACCGAUUGCAUAUCUCGGUGAGACUGAAAUUAAUGCAAUAGGCAACAGAGAGUUUGCAAGCCCAUCUCGGUGAGACCGAGAUCCCAUCGGUGAGACCGAAUUGAUUAGGGUUUGUGACAAUGGCUAUGUCAAGAGAACUCGGUGGCGCCGGAUAGAAUGUUUCGGUGGGGCCGAGUUUGACUUUUGGUUUGGGACAUAUGUGGAUGUGAGAAAGUGGUUGAGGGCUUUGGAGCAUAUCACUAAGCACUUUGAGCAAGCAACUCAUUAAGCAACACCUCACCCCCUCUUAAUAGUAUUGGCUUUUCCUAUGGACUCAAUGUGAUCUUGGAUCACUAAAAAUGUAGAGUCUUGUGCUUUGAGCUUGAGCCAAUCCUUUGUCCUUAUCAUCUUGAAGGGGUUCCACAUCCUCUAGUCCAUGCCACUCCAUUGUUGAACUUAUCUGAAAUAUACUAGGUAGAAGUAUUAGUCCAACAAGAGAUAUGUUGACAUUAAUUACCAAAAUCACCCAGGGAGCACUUGUGCUUUCACUUUGUUUGUCUAUGUAUUCACACAUGUACUAAGUUUCCGGUUAAUACAAUUCUAGCAUGAAUAAUAAAUAUUUAUCAUGAUAUAAGGAAAUAUAAAUAACAACUUUAUUAUUGCCUCUAGGGCAUAUUUCCUUCAGUGACCUCGUUCAUUAAAUGACAACACAUGUCUAUGGCUAGGAAACUUAACCAUCUUUGACUAACGAGCUAGUCAAGUAGAGGCAUACUAGGGACACUCCGUUUGUCUAUGUAUUCACACAUGUAUUAAGUUUCCGGUUAAUACAAUUCUAGCAUGAAUAAUAAACAUUUAUCAUGAUAUAAGGAAAUAUAAAUAACAACUUUAUUAUUGCCUCUAGGGCAUAUUUCCUUCAGUCUCCCACUUGCACUAGAGUCAAUAAUCUAGAUUACAUAGUAAUGAUUCUAACACCCAUGGAGUCUUGGUGUUGAUCAUGUUUUGCUCGUGAAAGAGGCUUAGUCAACGGGUCUGCAAUAUUCAGAUCCGUAUGUGUUUUGCAAAUCUUUAUGUCUCCCUCCUUGACUUGAUCGCGGAUGGAAUUAAAGCGUCUCUUGAUGUGUUUGGUUCUCUUGUGAAAUCUGGAUUCCUUCGCCAAGGCAAUUGCUCCAGUAUUGUCACAAAAUAUUUUCAUUGGACCUGAUGCACUUGGUAUUACACCUAGAUCGGAUAUGAACUCCUUCAUCUAGACUCCUUCAUUUGCUGCUUCCGAAGCAGCUAUGUACUCCGCUUCACACGUAGAUCCCGCCACGACGCUUUGCUUGGAACUGCACCAACUGACAGCUCCACCAUUCAAUAUAAAUAUGUAUCCGGUUUGUGACUUAGAGUCAUCCGGAUCAGUGUCAAAGAUUGCAUCAACGUAACCAUUUACGACAAGCUCUUUGUCACCUCCAUAAAUGAGAAACAUAUCCUUAGUCCUUUUCAGGUAUUUCAGGAUGUUCCUGACCGCUGUCCGGUGAUCCACUCCUGGAUUACUUUGGUACCUCCCUGCUAUACUUAUAGCAAGGCACACAUCAGGUCUGGUACACAACAUUGCAUACAUGAUAGAACCUAUGGCUGACGCAUAGGGAAUGACUUUCAUUUUCUCUCUAUCUUCUGCAGCGGGCAUUGAGUCCGACUCAACUUCACACCUUGUAACACAGGCAAGAACCCUUUCUUUGACCGAUCCAUUUUGAACUUCUUCAAAACUUUAUCAAGGUAUGUGCUUUGUGAAAGUCUAAUUAAGCGUCUUGAUCUAUCUCUAUAGAUCUUGAUGGCCAAUAUAUAAGCUGCUUCACCGAGGUCUUUCAUUGAAAAAUUCUUAUUCAAGUAUCCUUUUAUGCUAUCCAGAAAUUAUGUAUCAUUUCCAAUCAACAAUAUGUCAUCCACAUAUAAUAUUAGAAAUGCUACAGAGCUCCCACUCACUUUCUUGUAAAUACAGGCUUCUCCAAAAGUCUGUAUAAAACCAUAUGCUUUGAUCACACUAUCAAAGCGUAUAUUCCAACUCUGAGAGGCUUGCACUAGUCCAUAAAUGGAUCGCUGGAGCUUGCACACUUUGUUAGCACCUUUAGGAUCGACAAAACCUUCUGGUUGCAUCAUAUACAACUCUUCUUUAAGAAAUCCAUUAAGGAAUGCAGUUUUGACAUCCAUUUGCCAAAUUUCAUAAUCAUAAAAUGCGGCAAUUGCUAACAUGAUUCGGACAGACUUAAGCAUCGCUACGGGUGAGAAGGUCUCAUCGUAGUCAACUCCUUGAACUUGUCAAAAACUUUUUGCAACAAGUCGAGCUUUGUAGACAGUAACAUUACCGUCAGCGUCAGUCUUCUUCUUAAAGAUCCAUUUAUUCUCGAUGGCUUGCCAAUCAUCGGGCAAGUCAACCGAAGUCCACACUUUGUUCUCAUACAUGGAUCCCAUCUCAGAUUUCAUCUUCAAGCCAUUUCGCGGAAUCUGGGCUCAUCAUCUCUUCCUCAUAGUUCGUAGGUUCGUCAUGGUCUAGUAACAUGACUUCCAGAACAGGAUUACCGUACCACUCUGGUGCGGAUCGUACUCUGGUUGACCUACGAGGUUCGGUAGUAACUUCAUCUGAAGCUUCAUGAUCAUCAUCAUUAACUUCCUCACUAAUUGGUGUAGGAAUCACUGUACCUGAUUUCUAUGAUGAACUACUUUCCAAUUCAGGAGAAGGUACAAUUACCUCAUCAAGUUCUACUUUCCUCCCACUCACUUCUUUCGAGAGAACUCCUUCUCUAGAAAGGAUCCAUUCUUAGCAAUGAAUAUCUUGCCUUCGGAUCUGUGAUAGAAGGUGUACCCAAUAGUCUCCUUUGGGUAUCCUAUGAGGACACAUUUCUCCAAUUUGGGUUCGAGCUUAUCAGGUUGAAACUUUUUCACAUAAGCAUCGCAGCCCCAAACUUUAAGAAACGACAACUUGGGUUUCUUGCCAAACCACAGUUCAUAUGGUGUCGUCUCAACGGAUUUAGAUGGUGCCCUAUUUGGUGAUGAUGAUGACGGUGAUUUUCCCCUCCGGGAGGGAAGUUCCCCCGGUGGAAUCGCUCCGCCGGAGGGCAAAAGUGCUUCUGCCCAAGUUCCGCCUCGAGACGGCGGUGCUCCGUCCCGAAAGUCCUCUCCUUAUUUUUUUUCUAGGUCAAAAUGACUUAUAUACCAGAAGAUGGGCACCGGAGGUGUGCCGGGCUGAGCACAACCCACCAGGGUGCGCCUGGGGGGCCAGGCGCGCCCUGGUGUCUUGUGCUCACCAGGUGGCCCUCCUCCGGUGGUUAUUUGCUCCAGUAUUUCUUAUUUAUUCCAUAAAAAAUCCUCGUGAAGUUUCAGCUUACUUGGAGUUGUGCAGAAUAGGUGGCCUGACGUAGCUUUUCCACGUCCAGAUUGCCAGCUGCCGGAAUUCUCCCUCUUUGUGUGUACCUUGCAUAUUAUGAGAGAAAAGGCAUUAGAAUUACUCCAAAAAGCAUUAUUAUGCAUAAAAACAUCAUAAAUAACAGUAGGGAAACAUGAUGCAAAAUGGAUGUAUCAACGGGGAGCAGGCGAAUCACCUCUUGUUAGCAGGGAUCAGGAGAAGCACUUCACUUCAGCUGCGAGGAACAUGGUGUGCGGUCCAUGGCCUUCUUGACGAGCUCGAUCUUCACGGGCGGCACGUCGGCAUGGACUCGGCGUCGUUCGAUAGCCCGUCUAUGCACGGCAGUCGGCAGCAGUACGAAGCGGAGGCAAGGAUACAUGAACAGUUGCACAAGCAAGAGCGCGGAGAUUUCCUUUAUCAUUGUUGGUGUCCAGGGUGAAUGCACAUAAGGUGUUCGAUAAAAUGGUUGUUUCUAUAUGAGAGAGCGAUGGAAGAAGGACAGAGAAAACUGAUGACACGGCAGCAUUUUUUCUCACAUUUCUGGUUUUGGACUAAAGGUACCCGGUUUUGAGAGAUGAGGGACUAAAUGUCACCCAAUUUGUGGAGGGACCAAAUAUAGACUUUUAGUAAACUUGAGGGACCAAAAACAUAUUUUUCUCUAUUCUCCAAGCAAAGGCGGCUAGGGUUUCUGUCUCCCAUCGGCGGUGCCGUGAAUCUGCCUUAUCUCCUAUGGCCUUAGGGCCAUGAAGACGCGGUGGAUCCCGGCCCUUGCUGAUGGGCGUGCUCCAUUUUUAUAUGUUUCUUUGAGUUUUGCUAGGGCAUGUGUCCUACUCAGGAAGACGAGACGACGAUGGCUCCUUGAAGAUGGAAUAAAGUUCUCUCCAUCUAGCCCCUAUUUUGGUGGAGGUGUGUCUCCGAUAGUUGUCUUUGGUGGAUCCUCUCGGAUCCGGUCUUCGUUCAUAUAUGUCAGUGUCUUCAGGUUGUAUCCUUUUGAUCCACGUUUUUCUCCGUCGGCGGCGGUUACUGUUCUGGUGCAUUGGUCCUAUGGGGCCUUAGCGCGACGACUUUCCGACUGUCUAUUAUAGCAAGUUUUGCANNNNNNNNNNNNNNNNNNNNNNNNNNNNNNNNNNNNNNNNNNNNNNNNNNNNNNNNNNNNNNNNNNNNNNNNNNNNNNNNNNNNNNNNNNNNNNNNNNNNNNNNNNNNNNNNNNNNNNNNNNNNNNNNNNNNNNNNNNNNNNNNNNNNNNNNNNNNNNNNNNNNNNNNNNNNNNNNNNNNNNNNNNNNNNNNNNNNNNNNNNNNNNNNNNNNNNNNNNNNNNNNNNNNNNNNNNNNNNNNNNNNNNNNNNNNNNNNNNNNNNNNNNNNNNNNNNNNNNNNNNNNNGGCAGCGCGCCUUCAACUCGCUUCAGUACUUGUAGUCGUCGCUAGAUAUUUUACAAAUCUGGAUGUAAUUUUUAUUAUUUUGGUGUUCGUUGUACCGCCAUGAUUGAUGAUCAAUAGAUCGAAAUUUUUUCUCGCAAAACGAAAUAUAAAAACGUCAAUGCAAUUAAGGAAGCAUUGUAAAAUAAGAAAUGAAUUGAUAAUCAUGUGAUUUCCAUGAUAGAUAUCGUUACCAAUAAUCGGACAAUAUCCGCAAAAAAGUAAUAGAUGGAGUAUUACAUUUACACCCAUGAAGUCAAUACUUUGGUUUCUCCUCCUCCUUCAACUUAUAGCCUCAAAUGGUACACAUUGUUCAUAUUAUUUUUACUAGGACGGUCAUGGCACCGGAAAAUAAUUUUGGCAUCACAUGGACAAAAACUGAAACCAUAAAAACAAGUAUGCCGAGAUGCUUCAUGUAUUACGAGACCGGAGGUUAUGUUGGUUCUUAUCUAGGAAUACUUUCAUAAGAAAAUGAGACAACUAAGUACCAUUUAUUCAUUUACGUCAACGAUGUGCGCCCAUUUCAUCAUUUGUUUUGACAUAAGGCCAAAUAUCCGCUUGAUCCUAAUGGCGUAUGAAGACAUGUAUAGGAUUGAUAAGCAGUCUUUUUAUAUGUAUUCAACAUCAUUUAGAGAAAACAAUGAAACUUGUUAUAGUAAUAAAUUAACUCUUGGUGUUAUCUAUAGCAUUUAAUGUUACAUAACUCUAAAAUUCUGGGUGAUUAAAAUAAGAAUAAGAAAACACAUGAAUAGGACAAGACAUGUUAUACAAUUAGGCAAAUGUUUUGUCUUUCUUUCCAAUAGUCAUCUCUUAGCCAACAGCUUCGCCGGUUAUGCUAUGUGACAUCGUUAAGAUAGAGCCACGGUACACACCCCGAUGGUUUAGUGGACUUCAAUAGACAUCAUGGCACUAUUAAAACAGUAAGAAAACAUCUCUAGCAAAUCCCCUAUCCUAAAAGUCCAAAAGCUUCUCCCUAUCCCAAAAAGGCCAAAAAUACUUUUUCUCAGCCUAGCACAUCCUGUAAACUUAAUCCUUCAAACCAACUCGACCCCUACAUGGUAGUCACUCAUCUUCCUUCUUUCUUAUUUUUUUUCGUCCUUCCGCAUGGCGAACGACGGUUGCUCGACACUACAUGAUGUCUAUGAUCCACAAAAAUAAUUUGAUAGAGGCUCACUGAGUGUGACAUACACGUGCAACGAAAGAGACAAGAAUGUAGACAAAAUUUGUCCUCCAUGAACAACGGUUUGGGAACUUCUUCGUUUGAAUGCGUUCUUUGCCUCUUCCUUCUUCUACUGGCAUGAUGGUGUGGUCCGAAACACAACAAAUCGUUGAAAUUGGUGAUGGUCGACCGACGGCCAAGGUUCUUUGUAAUGUAGGUGAGUUGUUCCUUUGUAGGUGCUCUCCGCCGCGCUGAAGCUUUGUUUGUGGCCAGGGACGGCAUGGAGGAGCACUGUUGGGUCGGGCAUACCGGGGAGAAGCGCCAUCGUAGAAGGAGAUGACGAGAAAGACAAAAAAAUGAAGACACAAGUUAGCCGGAAUCUUGUUGUGGUUAUGAAUCGUAGACCGAUUGAUCCCUGGCAUUUAAUAAAGUUGAAUCAGCGUGUGCAUGUAUUAUCAUAGCGUCUGAGAGGGAAGGCACUAUGAUGUGUUGGAUAUUGGCUAACGCUCAUGCGCUGCUCUAGGACUUAGUGUUUGCCCGUUGCCGAGGCCAGAGAGCAACAGAGAGCAUAUGAGGACUGGGGCGAGCUAAAAAUUCUCUAAGUCAGUGUGUAGCUUCCAAGGCAAAGGCGCUAUGCUCCGACCUAACCGCAUCACGCCAUGUUGACAGGAAGUGUAGCGUCUGUCAUAACGACGCUACCUCAUGUAGCACGGCGCCUAGGUGUUGGACGCUACCCGAAAGGGUUAUUUCUGCAAAAUACGUUUGCCGAGAGUUUAUUGUUUGAAUUUGUUUCGACUUGGUCAGUUUUGUCCAUUUUGCGUGGAAACUCACCCUUGCCUCGAAAUGAAAAGAAAAUCGUGGAAACUCGUCCCCCGAUCGUUCCCUGACCCACCGGUCCGCAUCUUCUCGGCGAGGUGCGGCCCGCCGCCAGGCUGCAGCGGAGGUGCGGUGGUUCUCUCAGGCAGCGGCGGUGUCGGAGGCGACGAGCCCGAGCCGAUCAAGACUCCCAGAGAGCCACCACCCCACCGACGAGAAAUUCCUCCAACUGAGUGAGAAGGAAGGACCCCUCCCCAACACCCCCAACCCGCGGCCCCCAGAUCCAGAAUCUUCCGCCUCCUUGGCUCUCCCUCCCGGCCCACCACCGUCCGCCGGCUUCCGCGGCUCCGUUCUCCCCGGCUUCAUCAUCCUCAACUCGCUGGCCAGAUCUCCACAACGAGACAACCGCCGGAAACUUCACCAAAUCGGUUCGUCUUCGCCGACCCACCGCGCCUCUCCUACUCCUGCGUCCAGUGCUCCAACCGCGACGGGAACCCCUUCGCCUGCAUGCCCAAAUCCUUUCCUCGGUGGAGGGUCUCGCCCUCAUCCAAGUCCACUUCACGGCCGGCACUUGUUCGUCUAGGUUCAGAGUCGCUCAGAGGGGCAGAGGGCACCGGGGUCGGCCGACGCUUGAGCUGCUCCCGGACAUCCCGUCCGUAUUCUCAGAAGGAGCAUCUAAUGUCCCAUGGCGACGGCAAGCACCAAGUCUCGCCGCUCCCUCUAAGUUACACGGCAGGGCAACAUGAUCUCCAAUAUCUAGUUGUCCACUUGGACCAUGAAGCUGCUACAGGUGGAUCAUGGGCCAAGAAGCUGGAACUUAUUGAUCCCACAAUGUCAAAGGUGAUAGCUCCCAGUCUCAGAUGGAUUGCUAGGAUGGGUGGAUCUCCAGGAGGGAAUUGUGAUCUGCGAUGUGCUCGCCAUGGCCAAAGGCAUGCCUGACGGUGGCACGUUUCAUCCUGAUGUCGAAGCCGCAGCGCAGCAACCAAGAGCUCUACUGCCCAGAAACGGUUGGCACACCCGCUGCACGAUGCCGCCUUCAGUCAUGGCCUCAUGGUUACAUUACAUCAAGUGUGUCAAGUUGGAGUAAUCAGUAAGACUCAGACCUGAAACCUCUCACUAGUUCGGCAUGAUCACUUUGGCUGUGGCUGUGGCUGUGGCUGAGAAAAAGGAGCGAGGGAGGGAGUCGCGGUCGUCGGUCGGUCUCGGUCUCUGUCUUUUCAUCCGGGUGCACGGCCCUGCGAGCCAAUGCAAACUCUCCUCUCUCUGCGCAACAGCAGGCAGGCAGGCUACGCAAGCAAAAGCAACACGACCGGCUGGCUGGCUGGCUACGACUACACUACGCCCCGCCCCGCCCCGCCCCUCCCAUGUAGACAGAGAUCCCAAAUUUGAUGGAUUCAAAUUUCAAACUCAUGGGCGCCAAGUCUUCUUUUUCGACCCUCCCUCCCUCGCCGCUUAGGGUUUUGUUUCUCUUGUCUUUUUGUUUUUUCUUCCCUUCCCAUACAAGCAAGUCGAAUCGAAUGUACUCUCUCUGUUUCUAAAUAUAAGUUUUUUUAAAGAUUUCAAAUGGACUGUCACAUACGGAUGUACAUAGACAUAUUUUAGAGUGUAGGUUCACUUAUUUUGCUCCGUAUGUAGUCAUUUGUUGAAAUCUCUAGAAAGACAUAUAUUUAGGAACGGAGGAAGUAUCAACUACGUAAGUCCAACAUACGCGGCCACCCUCCCAAAUUACCACGCCGGGCGACAAGGCAACUACUCCCUCCCUACUUGCCACCGCUUUUACUUUGCCCAAAUCCAUCGUCUCACUUGAUGGAUUGCACACAACGACAACACGGAGCAACGUUCCUUCCUUCUUCGAUUUCGUACGCAUGACACGGCUACACCAGCCCUUCCUCUCCGUUGCCGGGACGUCAGGGAUAUUCGCACUACAUUGUAUAUAUUUUCGACAAAAGUUGAAUUUUAUUGCUUCCAAUGAAGCAUCAAGAGGAUACAUCACAAUGACCACACACCCGAUCUCUGCAUAAUUACGAUGCACACAUCCAACCAAACACACACGGAAACACACCGCCAAUUAGCAAAGUCAUACAGAUCAAAAGCCAUGCGCAAGCGUGAAAACAACAAGAAAAAAAAUACCCAAACGAUCGGAUGAACGAUCGACAAACUGCAACUGAGACCAUAUUAGCAGCAACCAUUGACACCACAUGGAUGACGAGAAUCUUCAAAAGCAACGCCUUCAGUAAGGAAGCGACGCCGUCACCUGGUCCAACCACAAAGGCGAGUAUCAAAGUCUUCACCCUAAAGAAUCAGUCCGAACAUACCCGAGCAAUGCCUCUAACAAGGUGACGACGUAAAAAACAUAGCCAUUUCCAGGAAUAACCACUCGGGUUUGUCAUAGGCUUUCGACCCGGAGCUCGAGACCGGGUGCACGCAACAUGUCUCCACCGUUUUUCCACCAUCCCAACAGCUACAAUUGGACCACUGCUACUCCACAAACAUCCCUCCGCGUCAAGUCAUCAUUCAUAAUUUGUAACACACCACUAAAGUCAUCCGCCGGAUCAAGAGAUAAUUUCGAUGGCCCCGGCUAUCGUGGAUCCAUAGGAAGUCGCUGCAGAAUGAUCUACAGACACCACCAUCCGGCUAAUAAUCAGAUCUAAAUCACCUCCACCAUCUGAGGAUCGCAGCGUCGGCGUCCGGCAUCGCACAAGCAGAAGGCCAGCUCAUCGCCACAACCCCACCCGGUCAAGCCGUUCCGCGAUCUCGCCUCUCCUCCAUGUAAAAGGAUCGCCAAUGAAACCCAUAUCGUCCAAACCACACUCCAUAGGACAAUCACCCCAUAAAGCCAGAUAUACUCAAAUACAAUACACUAAGCAGAAGUAGAUGAGGGGGCGUGACUUUGAGUACCAUCUAUCCGGGACAACAACAACAAUACACACCAUGAAUCCCCACCUCAACUCACCCAGGAGGAAGCAAUCCAUGACACUCUCACUUAUCUUGGCAAUUUUAAAGUAAUCGUUAACUUUGUCUAUGAUCAAGCAACAAUCUACAAAUCGUUAAAGAUUUGAAAGCACACUUGCUCCCUUGGUGGUUUUGGUAAUUCAUGUCAACAUACAUAUUGUUGGACUAACACUUCUACCUAGUAUAUUUCAAAUAAGUUCAACAAUGGCAUUACAAGGACAUGAGGAUGUGGACCCCUUCAAAAUACCAAGGACAUGAAAUCGGCAAAGUUCCAAGGCUCUUUAUUUUUGGUUAAGUGAUCCAGAUCACAUUGAGUCCUAUAGGGAAGCCAAUACUAUUAAAAGGGGAUGAGGUACUGUUGAUGAGUUUGUUGCUCAAGUGCUUAGUGGUAUUGCUCCAAAACCCUCCACCACAUUCUCCACAUCACAUUUGUCCAACCUCUAAAGUAUCAUCUCGGUCCCACCAAAAAUCUCUAUCCCGGACUCACCGAGUUGAUCACAUACACUGCAAGAGCCAAACCCUAACAUUUCGGUUCUACCAAUAUGGAUCUCGGUCUCACCAAGAUGGUGUGACCAAGUUUCUGUGAAGAAGUUGCUUCAUUUCGGAAUUACCGAGAUGAAACGAUCGGAACUACCGAAACGAGGUCUUGCCCUAGAAAUUGCACUUCGGUCGCUCCGAGGUGUUCUGCUUCGGUCUCACUGAGGCCUCCAACGUUCGAAUCUUUUGCACAGACCGAUCUCACCGAUAUUUUGGUCUGGUGUCACCGAGUUGGGUCAAAAGGUUGUAACAGUUGGAUUUUUGGUUGAAGCCUAUAUAUACACCUCCACCCCCACUUACUCUCUAAGGGAGCCAUCAGGACGAAACAUAAUUUCCAUCAUUCAUUUUCUGAGAGAGAGCCACCUACUCAUGUGUUGAGAUCAAGAGAUUCCAAUCCUACCAUUUGAACCUUGAUUUCUAGCCUUCCCCAAGUUCCUUUUCACUCAAAACCUUCUCCUACCAUAGCCAAAUCUGUGAGAGAGUGAUUGAGUAUUGGGGAGACUAUCAUUUGAAGCACAAGAGCAAGGAGUUCAUCAUCAACUAUGCAUCCAUUACCUUUUGGAGAGUGGUGUCUUCUAGAUUUGGUUAGGGGUCACUUGGGAGCCUCCAAGAGAUUGUGGAGUUGAACCAAACAGUUUAUAAGGGCAAGGAGAUCGCCUACUUUGUGAAGAUCUACCCGAGUGAGACUAGUCCUUCAUGGGCGUAAGCCACGAUGGAAUAUACAAGGUCGCUUCUUCAUGGAUCCUUCGUGGACUCGCGCAGCCAUUACUCCCCGUGGGUUGAAGUCUUCAUCAACAUGGAUGUACGAUAGCACCACCUAUCGGAAACACGACAAAAAUCACUGUGUCUUCAUUGCGUUUGAUCUUCCAUCUCUACCCUUUACUUUCCGCACAAUUGCAUGCUUUACUAUUUUUGCUUCCCUAUCUCUAGAUAUGCAUGUGUAGGAAGUCUCGGUGAUAUCUUAACUAGUGCCAAAAUCUGGCUAAUUUUCAAGAGAACUAAAAACUGCACCUUUGGUUGGUUAAGAGUCUAUUCANNNNNNNNNNNNNNNNNNNNNNNNNNNNNNNNNNNNNNNNNNNNNNNNNNNNNNNNNNNNNNNNNNNNNNNNNNNNNNNNNNNNNNNNNNNNNNNNNNNNNNNNNNNNNNNNNNNNNNNNNNNNNNNNNNNNNNNNNNNNNNNNNNNNNNNNNNNNNNNNNNNNNNNNNNNNNNNNNNNNNNNNNNNNNNNNNNNNNNNNNNNNNNNNNNNNNNNNNNNNNNNNNNNNNNNNNNUUCUCCGAUCCUACAAGAUUUAACCUCCAUGCAAGAGAGAGGUCGGAGGUAGGAGGCGAUUCGCAGGCCCAUGGGAACAUGGCCCUCUCUCUCUAUCUCUUUAAACUAUGUUUUCUUAUUUAAAAACUCCUUUAUUGAUUUAUAGGAGGGUUCAAAACGCAUCAAAAAAUCCUGAAACUUUUUUUAUGUAGCCUCACUGGUCCAAGUCAAAGCCACAUAAAUUAUUUCAGCAUUUUCGGGUGUAUAUUUCUAUUUCAAAUAUAUAUACUCAACUAGCUAUGGUUUAGGGUUUAAACCAAAAUCCAGAGUUUAAUUCCCUUUUAAUCCUUAAAAGCUUUGGGGAGAGCCUCUUACCAAAUUGUUAGUGCUUUAAAGGGUGUGUUGGACCGUUGGCAAGAUUUAGGGUUUUAUCCCUUUAAAAAGGACAACGGUUUAGUUUUAUCCUCAAUUCACAAUUAGACAAAUGAUGUUAAUGAGAUGCUUAUGGUGCACAAUCAAUUCCUAAUUACUACUACUAAUCUGGGAAUGCCACACGUUUAGGAUAUAUUAGCUAAUCCAUGCUUAUCCUCGAACAUGUAGGAUGGUAACACAAUGUAUGCUUUGCAAAUAAGAAAUGAAUGCAUGUUCUAAGGCCAACUCCACCGCGCGACCCCAAACGGACGUCCGUUUUGUCCGGAUUCUGUCCGUUUGGGUAGGGAUUUGGGGUCGUGUCCAGGCGUCCUGGGAUGCGGUGGCCGUGCGCCCAGCGCGCGGACACAUCCCGGCCGCAUCCUGUCCGCGUGCAUUUUUCUUUGCAACUCCUUAACUUGUUUUUUAUCAUUCAUUUUUGGUACAUGACAAUACAUCAUCACAUUUUGACUAGUAAAGUAAGGCCAAAGAAAAUAAGAACAACAAGAAUACAUUUUAGAAGAUACCCAACUUCCAUAACUGCUCCCUUGAGUUGGGUUAGGGCCUUCUCGAUGCACUCAUUGUUGAUCUGUGGAGGAGGCUCGAUGUUGCACCCUCCUUUCUUCUUCAAGCCAGAAGUCGAUGUUGCUUCCUCACACCUAGUCUCAUGUCUAGCCUCUAAUCUAGCAACAAGUGCACUUGUCUCAUCUACAACCUCUAUGCUAGCUAAAAGUGCACGAACAUGUACUAAAUUUCGCUCUAUCAAUAUAUCGAUGUACUCUUCUUCCCAAUACCAAAACUUGCAUCCAUUCUACACAAUAAAAUUUGAAGUUAGCACAACUAGUCUAAUCCGAGAGCACAAUCCGAAGCUAAAAAGAGCACAUACCCCAUCGUUUAAGCACUUGAUGAACACCCAUCCGGGAUGUUCCGGCGUUGUAGACACGCGGCACAUGACCAUCCUUGGGCAGUGGUCACACUUAAUGAGUGGCAACGGUGCGCCGACGAGCUUUUGGGCAAGCACCGAGCCCGGCCGGCCGCCAUUCGUGUAUCUGCCGGCGGACCACCGACGGUGCAGAUCCGAACGGCUAGAGGAGGAGCCACUGCCUGCAUGUGGCCUUGCGGCCAUACCAGGGCCUUCCGGCGAGGUGCCCGCCCAGUCCAUGGCGCGGCACAGCCUCCCACAACCGGGCGAGCUCAAGACCGACCAGAUCCGCCCCAAAUCCGGCCGGCGGGUGCGCAAACCAGGUGGCCGUGGUUGGGUAGCUCGGCGGCGCCGAGGGGAAGGGGUUGGGCGAGCGCGCGUCCGAGCUGCACGGCUGCAAUGGCAGCGGCGGCGGCGGCGAGGGAAAGAGUGGGGAAGAGUGGAGUGGGGUGCGGCCGAAGGGAGGGAGGGGGCGGAUAGAAAAAGGCCCGCCUUGUGCCACCGACGGGCGGGCUAGGGGAGGACACGCGCAGACGGCCGGCGCGUGCGCGUGGUGUCCGUUUCACCCCAAAAACAGCGCAAACUUGGGCCGGGGAUAGGUCGAAAGCGAACACAAAACGGAAAAGUCCGUUUGCUCCCGCGCGCUGGGCCGCCCGGGUUGUCCCUUUUACUCCAAACGGACGGGGACGGACAGGAUAGGGUCGCGCGGUGGAGUUGGCCUAAGAAGGAAAUCGUCAUCUUCCUAGCUAGUUCUGGCAUUCACCAUUUUGCCCUCGGUUUGUUUUUGGGUCCUGAUUGCAGAAUGGUGUAGAUGAAGCAGGCUUUUUGGAAGCUCAUUCUGAUGGAGGUUGAAUGAAGGACUGCUAUACCAAUACAGAUGCUUUAUUGUGCUUAUGACGUCACUUAUGUCCAUAUUCUUACCAUGCGUCAAUUAUCUUACAACUUCAAUAUCCUAGAUAUCAUUGUUUGUCAUUAUUACAUUAUCGUUUAUAAUUUCCUCGCCACUUGCUGUUAUUGAUGAUGUAUAGCAUUCAGAGGCCGAUUCGCAUGGAAGACAUAUAUAAACCACAUCCUAAUAUGUGAUCUGAAGAUAUUAUUUAUCGAUUUGCUUGUUUCCAUUGUAAUUUAUCCCCUUUUUACUAACACUUCCUUCAGCCAUGGUGACGCACACAUCUAAAUUAUAUGCAAUAUGAUUGCGAUUAUUUUCCAAUGUGUGAAAACAUACAGGCAUGGGUACACAUAUAUCCUGUCCUCUCCUUUCCUCCUACCCUAAUCUCCUUAGGAGCCCUCAAAGGCAUUUAGGAUCUCCUCAUCGACCCUUAGGACAGCUAGUUGUUGGCACCAUCUCACAACUGUACACAUAAGAGAGGGAGAAAGAGAGUUACCUAAGUGGAACCACAAAGGGCUCAGUGGAAAUUGGAUUCAUGCAUUUGCUAUGUUAUUCGUCUGAGAUAAGAGAAUUACAAGCAGCAAGAGCACAUUGUAUGCACACUCAAGUACCAACGAAAAUACCGAGUAGCCUCACACCAUCAAAAAGACACAAAACAUAUAUCAUAUGAAUCGGUACCAAACACCACAGAAUAGAUAAGGAUACAGUUUUAAACAACGAUAAUGUCCACAUAAACGCCUUAAUAGACACCAUACAAUACAAUUAGUACGAUACAGUUAAAAACCAUAGAAUAAGUACCAAGUCAUUUUAAACCACAAUCAUGUCCCAC